rnacentral:rRNA from 1 species
GACCAGACUCCUACGGGAGGCAGCAGUGGGGAAUAUUGCACAAUGGGGGAAACCCUGAUGCAGCAACGCCGCGUGAGUGAGGAAGUAUUUCGGUAUGUAAAGCUCUAUCAGCAGGGAAUAGAAAAGAAGGUACCUGAAAAAGAAGCCCCGGCUAACUACGCGCCAGCAGCCGCGGUAAUACGUAGGGGGCAAGCGUUAUCCGGAUUUACUGGGUGUAAAGGGGGCGCAGACGGCAGCGCAAGCCAGGAGUGAAAGCCCGGGGCCCAACCCCGGGACUGCUCUUGGAACUGCGCGGCUGGAGUGCAGGAGGGGCAGGCGGAAUUCCUGGUGUAGCGGUGAAAUGCGUAGAUAUCAGGAGGAACACCGGUGGCGAAGGCGGCCUGCUGGACUGCGACUGACGUUGAGGCUCGAAAGCGUGGGGAGCGAACAGGAUUAGAUACCCCUGUAC